GGCUGGUCUGGAGUGCAGUGAUGUUUACAGCUUAUUGUACAAAUAAGUUACAAAUUUCUUUAUUCAUUCUCCACUCCCACUGUUUUACUUGACUACCGUUUA
ensembl:misc_RNA Y_RNA Y RNA